UGCCUAAGGGUCGCAGCUUACACAUGCAAGUCGAGCGGUAACAGGGGUAAGCUUGCUAUCCCGCUGACAGAGCGGCGGACGGGUGAGUAAUGCUUAGGAAUCUGCCCAGUAGUGGGGGAUAGCCCGGGGAAACCCGGAUUAAUACCGCAUACGUCCUACGGGAGAAAGCAGGGGAUCUUCGGACCUUGCGCUAUUGGAUGAGCCUAAGUCGGAUUAGCUAGUUGGUGGGGUAAAGGCCUACCAAGGCGACGAUCCGUAGCUGGUCUGAGAGGAUGAUCAGCCACAUCGGGACUGAGACACGGCCCGAACUCCUACGGGAGGCAGCAGUGGGGAAUAUUGGACAAUGGGGGCAACCCUGAUCCAGCCAUGCCGCGUGUGUGAAGAAGGCUUUCGGGUUGUAAAGCACCUUCAGUAGGGAGGAAAACUCUUAUGGUUGGUAACCGUGAGGCUUUUCGCUAACUCCCGAAGUCACCAUGGCCUUCCUCUGAACCCUUCCCCCGAGGUCAAAGGCGGAGAGAGGUUU
rnacentral:rRNA from 1 species